rnacentral:rRNA from 1 species
GAUGAACGCUAGCGGCAGGCUUAACACAUGCAAGUCGAGGGGUAGGUUACUUCGGUAAUUGAGACCGGCGCACGGGUGCGUAACGCGUAUACAAUCUACCUUUUACAGAGGGAUAGCCCAGAGAAAUUUGGAUUAAUACCUCAUAGUAUUUUUGAAUCGCAUGAUUUGAUUAUUAAAGUUCCAACGGUAAAAGAUGAGUAUGCGUCCCAUUAGCUAGAUGGUAAGGUAACGGCUUACCAUGGCUACGAUGGGUAGGGUCCUGAGAGGGAGAUCCCCCANACUGGUACUGAGACACGGACCAGACUCCUACGGGAGGCAGCAGUGAGGAAUAUUGGACAAUGGGCGCAAGCCUGAUCCAGCCAUGCCGCGUGCAGGAAGAAGGUCCUAUGGAUUGUAAACUGCUUUUAUACAGGAAGAAACACUCCCUCGUGAGGGAACUUGACGGUACUGUAUGAAUAAGGACCGGCUAAACUCCGUGCCAGCAGCCGCGGUAAAGU